rnacentral:lncRNA from 1 species
UUCAAGCAAAAGAAGGAUGCAUGCCUUCCCUUGCUCUAAUCCACCAGUGAAUCGUCCAUAGUAUGCUUUGAGAGUUGUGCAAGCAGAUGACUAAUAGAGUUUAUGUUGCUUUGAGAUCUAUGCAAUGUGUGAUCUAAUGGUAAAUUCAGGCGAAGGAAGGCAAAUCCUUCUUUCGUGUGAAGGAUACAAACCGAUCCCAGUAAGACAUAAAGUAGAUAUCAUCAUUCACACCAACUAAUCCCUAUCAUGCAGGCCUGAUGCAGAACCGGAAGAUUUUGCUGGGCUGGAGCAUUUGGAUGCGGAAGAUCCCAGGAAAUCAGGAAUAGAAGGCGAAGAGGAUGAGGACGCUGAUCGUGGAGGUUGAACGUGAUUCAAACCCAGCAGUGGAGCGCUUGAUUAAGAGUCAUUCUGAAUUUUAAUUCUGUUUCGUUUGAGUCAAGAGUCAAGAGUGAAGGGUCCUUGUUUUGUUGCUGAAUUAAGUCAUGUUUGGUCCUGAGUUAAGUUGGGAUUAGGAAUCCUUGUUGGUUUAGGAAUUCGUUUUAUGUUUGGGUCCCAUUGUUAAGGGUUAGGGUGUGUGUAUGCGAUCCUGUAUAAGGCAUCGUUAGAAGAGCGUUUUUUUCUUCUUUCCGUUUUUGUUUUCUGGUUUCGAGCCAUCAUCAAUGAAAGAACAACACGCCGGAUAGUUUCAG